GGGAUCGGAGUGUGGGUUCCUAGCGAGCCCACCUCCCACCCGUGUUUACUGUACCUUAGUUGCUUCGGCGGGCCCGCCAUUCAUGGCCGCCGGGGGCUCUCAGCCCCGGGCCCGCGCCCGCCGGAGACACCACGAACUCUGUCUGAUCUAGUGAAGUCUGAGUUGAUUGUAUCGCAAUCAGUUAAAACUUUCAACAAUGGAUCUCUUGGUUCCGGCAUCGAUGAAGAACGCAGCGAAAUGCGAUAACUAGUGUGAAUUGCAGAAUUCCGUGAAUCAUCGAGUCUUUGAACGCACAUUGCGCCCCCUGGUAUUCCGGGGGGCAUGCCUGUCCGAGCGUCAUUGCUGCCCAUCAAGCACGGCUUGUGUGUUGGGUCGUCGUCCCCUCUCCGGGGGGGACGGGCCCCAAAGGCAGCGGCGGCACCGCGUCCGAUCCUCGAGCGUAUGGGGCUUUGUCACCCGCUCUGUAGGCCCGGCCGGCGCUUGCCGAACGCAAAUCAAUCUUUUUCCAGGUUGACCUCGGAUCAGGUAGGGAUACCCGCUGAACUUAAGCAUAUCAAUAAGCGGAGGAA
rnacentral:rRNA from 1 species